UACGGAGGGUGCGAGCGUUAAUCGGAAUUACUGGGCGUAAAGCGCAUGUAGGCGGUUUGAUAAGUCGGAUGUGAAAUCCCUGGGCUUAACCUGGGAAUGGCAUUCGAUACUGUCAGGCUAGAGUAGGAUAGAGGAGAGGGGAAUUCCGCGUGUAGCAGUGAAAUGCGUAGAUAUGCGGAGGAACACCAAUGGCGAAGGCACCUCUCUGGGUCCAUACUGACGCUGAGAUGCGAAAGCGUGGGGAGCAAACAGG
rnacentral:rRNA from 2 species